rnacentral:tRNA from 1 species
GGCAGAAAAUGUGUCUGAUUUAGAAUCUUUAUAUAUAAGUAAAUACUUUUAUUUAG